AGUUUGAUCCUGGCUCAGGACGAACGCUGGCGGCGUGCUUAACACAUGCAAGUCGAACGGAAAGGCCUCUUCGGAGGUACUCGAGUGGCGAACGGGUGAGUAACACGUGGGCAAUCUGCCCUGCACUUCGGGAUAAGCCUGGGAAACUGGGUCUAAUACCGGAUAGGACCUUUAGACGCAUGUCUUUUGGUGGAAAGCUUUUGCGGUGUGGGAUGGGCCCGCGGCCUAUCAGCUUGUUGGUGGGGUGACGGCCUACCAAGGCGACGACGGGUAGCCGGCCUGAGAGGGUGUCCGGCCACACUGGGACUGAGAUACGGCCCAGACUCCUACGGGAGGCAGCAGUGGGGAAUAUUGCACAAUGGGCGCAAGCCUGAUGCAGCGACGCCGCGUGGGGGAUGACGGCCUUCGGGUUGUAAACCUCUUUCACCAUCGACGAAGGUCCGGGUUUUCUCGGAUUGACGGUAGGUGGAGAAGAAGCACCGGCCAACUACGUGCCAGCAGCCGCGGUAAUAC
rnacentral:rRNA from 1 species